UAUCUUCUCUCCCACUUGAAGCUGCCUUUCUCAUUUUAGCCACUUUAAUGGGGACAGAGUGGUGUACACAGCACAUGAGUUUUAUGAUGGCCAAGGAGACUGUACAGCUCUUCAUAUGGGUGGAAAAUUUGUAUUUGUGGGAGACCAGCUCAGAGCGGACCUGCACCAAAUCUCCAUUGCUCACCCAGGCCUCACAGCUCUAGCAGGUGGAACAUUUUACUAUUUGGCUUCAUAGAAGUCAAUCCAAAACUCACAGCAACGCAGAACUAACGGCCCUGAACCUGGACAAGAGACACGGCUUCUGGUGCCGGCGAGGUUUCGCCUCUCUGGGUUUCCGUGUCCCUCCCACAGCGCGGAGGGCAGACACCGCAUCUCUCAUGCCCGCUGGGCUGAAGGCCCGCCGCCCAUCUCGGUACUUCCCCUCGGACUGCAGGCAAGCGCCCCGGGUGAGUGCGCCCCCAGAGCUGGAAUCCAGGGCCCGGAGGGGAGCCGUGCGCUCGCCCAGCUGCUUAACCACACGUGCGUGGGUGCAGACUCCUGGCUGUACCCCUUUCCGGGCGGGGGGUCACAGCCACCAACUCAGCCACCAGCAGGUCUCAAUCAACGAGAGAAUGGCUGGAGGAGCUGAAGGAAAUUCUGGGGGAGAAAUAAAAGAGAGUGAAAUGGGGGGAAGACAGCCUCCGCGCGCGACGCCUCCCGGAAACCGAGCCGCACCGCGAAGUCAUGCUGAGAACGAUGCGUGAGGCCCUGGCCACGUGCUGGGCAUUCCGCGCCGAAGGACCGGGGCACGCGCACCCGCGAACAGGCCAUGGGUCACUGGCUCUCCUCGGCUCCCCCUUCUGGAGACGUGUUUAGAGUCCAGGUCCUUAUAAUUUGACACUUGCAUUCAGAUUUUAACCAAUAUAUUACCAAAUUUACAUUUCCCUGUAUGGCCCCGGAAGACGGCUGGUUAGCCAGAGACGGGUAAGAUUCCUCAAGGGAGGAACAACCUAAGACAGGCACAGUC